rnacentral:rRNA from 1 species
AUACAUGCAAGUCGAACGAAGUAGCAAUACUUAGUGGCAGACGGGUGAGUAACAUGUAGGUAUCUUCCCAUUGGUGAGGAAUAACACGAGGAAACUUGUGCUAAUACCUCAUAAGUCUUUACGGAGAAAGCUUUAUGCGCCGAUGGAUGAGCCUGCACUUGAUUAGUUUGUUGGUAGGGUAAUGGCCUACCAAGACAAUGAUCAAUAGCUGAUUUGAGAGGAUGAUCAGCCACAUUGGGACUGAGACACGGCCCAAACUCCUACGGGAGGCAGCAGUAGGGAAUCUUGCACAAUGGGGGAAACCCUGAUGCAGCGAUGCCGCGUGAGUGAAGAAGGCCUUUGGGUUGUAAAGCUCUUUCGUCGGGGAAGAAAAUGACUGUACCCGAAUAAGAAGGUCCGG